ACGCUCGACACCUACGGGGGCAGCAGUGGGAAUAUUGCACAAUGGGGGAAACCCUGAUGCAGCGACGCCGCGUGGAGGAAGAAGGUCUUCGGAUUGUAAACUCCUGUUGUUGGGGAAAAGAGGAUGGUACCCAACAAGGAAGUGACGGCUAACUACGUGCCAGCAGCCGCGGUAAUCUGAGCGGGCGUGGCAAGGC
rnacentral:rRNA from 1 species